AAGGAUCAUUAAAGAUUCUGACCUUCGGGUCUAACUUUUCAGCUGUGCGCUUCGGCUGCACGCUGAUAAAACCUUACACACCUGUGCACAUUUCGGUUGCAAUCCUGCAUGCAGGUUUGCUUCCGCUUUACAUACAACCACAUGUCUUGAAUGUAAAAAAAAACAAUAAAAGUAACAACUUUCAACAACGGAUCUCUUGGCUCUC
rnacentral:misc_RNA from 1 species